AAUACCCGCCCGGUUUCGAACCGGGGACCUCUCGCGUGUUAGGCGAGCGUGAUAACCACUACACUACGGAAAC
rnacentral:tRNA from 1 species